rnacentral:rRNA from 1 species
GACGUAGGGGGCCAGCGUUGCUCGGAAUUACUGGGCGUAAAGGGUUCGUAGGCGGUGCGGCAAGUUGGGAGUGAAAUCUCUGGGCUUAACCCAGAGGCUGCUUCCAAAACUGCCGUGCUAGAGUGCGAGAGAGGCCAGUGGAAUUGCAGGUGUAGCGGUGAAAUGCGUAGAUAUCAGGAGGAACACCGGUGGCGAAGGCGCUCAUCUGGCCCAAUACUGACGCUGAUGCGCGAAAGCUAGGGGAGCAAACAGG